UACAGAGGGGGCAAGCGUUGUUCGGAAUUACUGGGCGUAAAGGGCGCGUAGGCGGCCUUCUAAGUCGAACGUGAAAUCCCCGGGCUCAACCCGGGAACUGCGUCCGAUACUGGAAGGCUUGAAUCCGGGAGAGGGAUGUGGAAUUCCAGGUGUAGCGGUGAAAUGCGUAGAUAUCUGGAGGAACACCGGUGGCGAAGGCGGCAUUCUGGACUGCAACUGACACUGAAGAACGAAAGCCAGGGGAGCAAACGGG
rnacentral:rRNA from 1 species